UAAGCCAUUAAGAACAUCCUUAGGAUAUUCUCAGGAUCGACAGGAUGUUCUGUAAACAUUAUAUAAGUUUAUUUUUAUAUAUUGAAUUUUUUAAUCGCAACGUGGUUCAAUUACGGAAUAUACAUUAAAUUAGAAUCAGCAUAUAGUAUAUCACUUUAACCGGAUAGUAGAACCAAUUUGAUAGAGAAUAGUAUGCCUAAUAUAUACGGAGACUCCUCCUACAUUCUAAGUGUAGGAAAACUCACCCUGCAUACGAUGUCCGUAGGAUAAUGAAUAUGCGGACAUUUGCACCGAGACCUUAUCAGGACAUCCAUAGGACUUUCGGAAUAUCCUCUUAUAUCCAUUAAUGAUUAUGCCAAGACUCAUAAAUAUGUAUUCGAAGAGAUAUAUCCCGAGGUUAUCAGGACAGUUUUGGGACGUUCAUGAUAUAAUAAUUGGGAUACUCCGAGGACGUCAUGUGGUGUCUGGAAUAUAUGUAAUUCUAAUGAAAACACGCACUUGUGUGCACAUGUUUUUGGAAGGUCAAAUAUUUUCGAUAAAUUGAUAUGGAUUGAUUAUGAUAUGAGGGCGCGAGACAUUUGCAAUUUGUCGAUGUAUAACAUACUUGUGUCAUAAUUCUGUAUGCAUUGCAUACUCUUAAUUGUCAACUAUAUUUUGUGAAAAUAGCAUCUGAGUAAUUGUAAAACUUAAAAAGAUAUACGUGUAGUCCUUUGAAAUGAAGACUAUCUCGUGUUUAUCAUUGAGGAUUCAAGAUGGUCGUUGUAAGUUCCCAGUUCCUUUAAAGUAUAAAUAAAUCAAAUAUAAAAGAUGA